rnacentral:rRNA from 1 species
UACGUAGGCAGCGAGCGUUGUUCGGAUUUACUGGGCGUAAAGGGUGUGUAGGCGGUUCUUUAAGUUUGGCGUGAAAUCUCCCGGCUCAACCGGGAGGGUGCGUCGAAUACUGAGGGACUAGAGUACGGGAGAGGAAAGUGGAAUUCCUGGUGUAGCGGUGAAAUGCGUAGAUAUCAGGAGGAACACCGGUGGUGUAGACGGCUUUCUGGACCGUAGCUGACGCUGAGACACGAAAGCGUGGGUAGCAAACAGG